UUCCUGCCCAGAACGAGGGUUCCGCAGCAGAAGCCAGGACUGUGUGACUGCACAGUGGGGACAAAGGGCCUGGGGCAGCCCUGCCCCAUGGGACACAACAGCCUUUGCACCAGGAUGGGUGCCCCGGUACGGGCCAGCUGAGGAAUGAGCUCCUCUGUGCCUGCCGGGGCCCCCACACCCACAGUGGGAGGAGGCAGGGCAGAGAAGCCAGCUGCCCGCCCCGCAAAACCCGCCCGAGGCUCCGACAGCGCUGGCCUCAGGCCACUCAGCCACUUCUGACCCCCAGGUCUCGCAUUCCCUUCCCCACAGGUCUUCGGGUCCCCGGCCUCGGCCUCAUGUCCUGCAGAACUGCCGAGGCCAGGGAAUCGGACAGGCAUGGGGAAGGGGAUGUGAGAUCUGAGGGCCAGAUGACUGCCCCCUUUUUCUUCAAUUAUUUUCACUGUGGUAAAAUACACAUAAAAUAAAUUUACCAUCUUAA
rnacentral:lncRNA from 10 species